AUUUAGGAUAAGGUAUAAUAAUUUAACCUGCACCAUUGUUUCUGUGAAUAAUUGAGGUCUGAAAAGGGACAUUUGAAAGACAGUGCAGGCAUAUGUUAUAUUCAAUAUGGGUUCCUAGGAUCAUAUUACAAACAAAAAAAACAACAAUAUUCGUAUAAAACGAGUUACAUAUUUUUAAUUAAUUAUCCCUCCCCCCAAAAAUCCAUAAUCACAUAAAACAAUUCAAAACCAAUUUCUCACUUUUCAAUGUUUUAAGAUGUUGAGGCAUACAGCACUAUCUUAAUAAAUCACUUUUCCUACAGUCAGACAACUACUUAGAGUUGAAAAUCUAAUUAUAUUAUUGGACAGGGUGUCAUUAAGUACACUUGUUCACAUUAUUUCCUGUAUGUGGCACAAAAAUAACAAAUAAUAUAUCCACUUAAGCCCACGGCUAGGGCCAUGGUAAUAUAUCCACUGAAUGGAGGCCAUGGUAAUAUAUCCACUGAAUAGAGGCCCAUGGCUAGGGCCAUGGUAAUAUAUCCACUGAAUGGAUGCCAUGGUAAUAUAUCCACUGAAUGGAGGCCAUGGUAAUAUAUCCACUGAAUGGAGGCCAUGGUAAUAUAUCCACUGAAUGGAGGCCCAUGGCUAGGGCCAUGAUAAUAUAUCCACUGAAUGGAGGCCCAUGGCUAGGGCCAUGGUAAUAUAUCCACUUAGAGGACCAUGGCUAGGGCCAUGGUAAUAUAUCCACUUAGAGGACCAUGGCUAGGCCCAUGGUAAUAUAUCCACUUAGAGGACCAUGGCUAGGCCCAUGGUAAUAUAUCCACUUAGAGGACCAUGGCUAGGCCCAUGGUAAUAUAUCCACUUAGAGGACCAUGGCUAGGCCCAUGGUAAUAUAUCCACUUAGAGGACCAUGGCCAGGGCCAUGGUAAUCUGAAAUAUUUGAAAAAUAAAAUAAAUGAUCACAGCACACACUUUAAGUGAUCAUCCCCACACAGAGUCAGCUUCUCUCCAGUGGAGAACAGAGUAACCAGCCUAAAGACUAAAGAUCAUUUCCCUAUGAUCAAAUUAAAACGUUUUUUAAAAAAUUUUUUAAAUACCCUCUAAGAACGGCUCUAUUCAUUCUUUCCAUCAACUGAAUUUCUGACAACUGAUUCAUUUAGUCUGGAUUUAUGUUGGGGGGUAAAACCAAGGAAACAUGACACACUCACAAGAUGGAUGACAGCCUUUGGCUUUACCAUUCCAAAUCACAAAUCUCAACACAUCGAAUCUCUAUCCAUGUGCGUAUCAGCUACCAGUAGCAGAAUGACAAGACAAACUUCCACUGGAAUCUCUCGCGGGGCACAGCGCUUGUUUUGUGUCCGGGGGGGGGGCAUCUACGGUCUUCUAGGCGGAGCCGACCUGUGUGACGUGGCGUCUCCGAUCUUCUAGGGGAGCCGACCUGCGUGUGUGUUUCUGGUCUAGGGGGAGACAGAGCUGGCCUCCUGGUAGAUGAAGGAGUAGAGGCUGAUGUCAGGACGGCGGGUGAAGCAGCUCUGACACAUUGAGCUGUAGUACUGACCCAGCAAACUGUACAGAGC
ensembl:lncRNA